rnacentral:rRNA from 1 species
GGAAUCUUCCACAAUGGACGCAAGUCUGAUGGAGCAACGCCGCGUGAGUGAAGAAGGUCUUCGGAUCGUAAAACUCUGUUGUUAGAGAAGAACACGAGUGAGAGUAACUGUUCAUUCGAUGACGGUAUCUAACCAGCAAGUCACGGCUAACUACGUGCCUAG